AUGGCCAUCCCAGCAGUUUUUGUGGAGUGGGUGCUGGAGAAAAAUGGAUCUUCAUGGACCGUCAGCACCGCCGAAGAGGAUAUAUCCAGCCCCACUCCCGACCCAGAGACCAGCCAGCCACCAUCACGCCGCACGGAGCCAGAGCCCGAGCCAAUCACUGACAGGGAGCAGGACCUCGAGAACGCGACUGACCAGGUGUGCGAGCUGUCAACACCGUGCAUCGUGAGAGUCCUCGUGGAGAUCGAGGGCAUGGAGCAAAGCCCUGCCCACAUUCCUGCGACUGAGGGUGAGCUGUAUGCGAUCUUGGGAAAAAACAUGGAGCAACUUAUGGAUCUGAUGGACUGGUCUAUGGAGGUAAUCCCUAAUUUUCCUGUUUCUCCGCUGGUUCCGUCCAGCCCUGAUUCCCCUGUAUACCCUCUCAGUCUCCCACUCUUACCUCCUCCAGCCAUUUCCUCUGCUCCAUUUCCACUGGUUCCAUCCAGCUAUGAAUUUUCUGUAUUUCCACUGGUUCCGCCCAGCCCUGAGUUUUCUGUUUCUCCGCUGGUUCCGCCCAGCUCUGAAUCUUCUGUGUCUCCUGUGUUCCCUCCCGGCCUCCCUCUCCCACCUCCUCAUGGACCUGCUGGUCCCUCUGCUCCACUUCCGCUGGUUCUGUCCAGCCCUGAUCCUCCUGUCCUUCCUCCCAUCCUUCCUCUCUCUCCUCCUCCUAGACCAGCCAGUUCCUCGUCAUCCCUGCUGGUGCCAGUCAGUCCCGCAGCUCACCCUCAGUCCACGGCAACUGGGCGCAACGGUUCGCCGCUGGACUGCCAGUCUCCAGCUCCACCUUGGCGAGUUAAGGCCCUGUCUCCGCCUCCAGCCUCUGAGCCCAGGACUCCUCCUCGGUCCUUCGACCCAGUGGCUCCGCCUUGGCUCUUAGCUCCCUCGUCUCCACCGUGGCCUGGCAUCCCACCUGCUCCACCGAACUCCCUCAUCCCUCCGGCUCCACCUUGGUCAGUCGUCGACCCUCCGCCACCUCGGGACUCCACUCCUCUGGUUCCACCUUGUCACUCUAUCCCUCCGGCUCUGUCAGGCUCCUCCUUCCCUCCGGUUCCACCUCCAUCCUCGGUCGCUCCGGCUCCACAGCGGUCUGCCAGGACCCCGCCUCCGUCGCCUGAGCCUUCUGCUCCACCUAGGCCCUCCGGAUCCUCGACGUCACCCCACGACGUCAGCUGUGCUGCUCCAUCUUGGGCUCCUCACCCACCCGUGCAGUCUCCGCCCGUCGGCCCCCUGGUGUCAUCGACCCCUCCUUCACCAUGGCUCCUCCCGCCGUUGACUCCACCAUGGAUCUCCAUCCUGGCUGGUCUCUAG
rnacentral:lncRNA from 1 species